rnacentral:snRNA from 1 species
GGAUGUGAAGGCGAUCUGGCUGCAACAUCUGUCACCCCAUUGAUUGCCAGGGUUGAUUCGGCUGAUCUGGCUGGCUAGGCGGGUGUCCCCUUCCUCCCUCACCGCUCCGUGUGCGUCCCUCUGGAAGCUGCGCGCUCGGAAGAAGAGGACUGCCUUCCCCAAAUAGAGAUGGACUGGUCUUCAGUCGAGGGUAUACCAGUAGCUGUGCUCCCCUGCUAGAACCUCCAAACAAGCUCUGGAUUCUGUGAUACUUAGCUAAAAUCUUCAGACAACAGAUACUUGAGACAUAAAAUAAUAAGUGCCUAAAAACUUUGAAAUGUUACAUUGU